AGAUGCGCUUUCUGUUCCGCGGUGCCAACCGUUGCUGCCAGUAGGCAAGCUUGUGGCUCCAGACAGAUACGCAUAACCAGAAAGUGAUCGAUGACCUGAUGAAAGUUCUCUUCUGUCAUCCACCAGGUAAGCAAUUCCUGAUCAAGAAAAUUCCAGUUCGAUUGUGGCAUGACCCGGGUACCAAUUCGCGGUCGCGGUAAAACCAUCCCUUUUGCCGUUAACGUUUUGACCGCUUCGCGUACCGCUGUACGACUCACUCCAAAUUGCUCGCCCAGCUCAAUCUCACCGGGCAAAAUGGUGCCGGGUUCAUAUUCACCUUUUAAGAUCCGUUGCGCCAGCUUCUCAGCCAGAACAUACGAAAGGUUUUUCUGUGCAGCUAACUGUUGUGCGCUUAAAGGCAUUACUAAUCUUCCUUUUUCUUUUUAUUCCUCCUUAGUAUGCCACCAGGAAGUGUGAUUACGGUUGCAAAAACGGCAAAUUGCUUGUUUUAUGGCACAUUAACGGGGCUUUUGCUGAAAAAAUGCGCGGUCAGAAAAUUAUUUUAAAUUUCCUCUUGUCAGACCGGAAUAACUCCCUAUAAUGCGCCACCACUGACACGGAACAACG
rnacentral:rRNA from 1 species